rnacentral:rRNA from 1 species
UCCAGACUCCUACGGGAGGCAGCAGUGGGGAAUAUUGCACAAUGGGGGAAACCCUGAUGCAGCGACGCCGCGUGAGUGAAGAAGUAUUUCGGCAUGUAAAGCUCUAUCAGCAGGGAAGAAAAAAGACGGUACCUGACUAAGAAGCCCCGGCUAACUACGUGCCAGCAGCCGCGGUAAUACGUAGGGGGCAAGCGUUAUCCGGAAUUACUGGGUGUAAAGGGUGCGUAGGUGGCAUGGUAAGUCAGAAGUGAAAGCCCGGGGCUUAACCCCGGGACUGCUUUUGAAACUGUCAUGCUGGAGUGCAGGAGAGGUAAGCGGAAUUCCUAGUGUAGCGGUGAAAUGCGUAGAUAUUAGGAGGAACACCAGUGGCGAAGGCGGCUUACUGGACUGUCACUGACACUGAUGCACGAAAGCGUGGGGAGCAAACAGGAUUAGAUACCCGAGUA